UACGAAGGGGGCUAGCGUUGCCCGGAAUCACUGGGCGUAAAGCGCACGUAGGCGGACUUUCAAGUCAGGGGUGAAAUCCCGGAGCUCAACUUCGGAAUUGCCUUUGAUACUGUUGGUCUCGAGUCCGGAAGAGGUGGGUGGAAUUCCUAGUGUAGAGGUGAAAUUCGUAGAUAUUAGGAAGAACACCGGUGGCGAAGGCGGCCCACUGGUCCGGUACUGACGCUGAGGUGCGAAAGCGUGGGGAGCAAACAGG
rnacentral:rRNA from 1 species